AACGAACGCUGGCGGCAUGCCUAACACAUGCAAGUCGAACGAGACCUUCGGGUCUAGUGGCGCACGGGUGCGUAACGCGUGGGAACCUGCCCUUAGGUUCGGAAUAACUCCCCGAAAGGGGUGCUAAUACCGGAUAAUGUCUUCGGACCAAAGAUUUAUCGCCUUUGGAUGGGCCCGCGUUGGAUUAGCUAGUUGGUAGGGUAAAAGCCUACCAAGGCGACGAUCCAUAGCUGGUCUGAGAGGAUGAUCAGCCACACUGGGACUGAGACACGGCCCAGACUCCUACGGGAGGCAGCAGUGGGGAACAUUGGACAAUGGGCGAAAGUCUGAUCCAGCAAUGCCGCGUGAGUGAUGAAGGCCUUAGGGUUGUAAAGCUCUUUUACCCGGGAUGAUAAUGACAGUACCGGGAGAAUAAGCUCCGGCUAACUCCGUG
rnacentral:rRNA from 1 species